UGAACGCUGGCGGCGUGCCUAAUACAUGCAAGUCGAACGCAUUGUGGUUGAAAUGAUAUGAAGAACUUGUUCAGAUUUGAUUUUCAACAUUGCAAUGAGUGGCGAACGGGUGAGUAACACGUGGGAAACCUACCUCUUAGCAGGGGAUAACAUUUGGAAACAAAUGCUAAUACCGUAUAAUAAUUAAAACCGCAUGGUUUUAGUUUAAAAGAUGGUCUUGCUAUCACUAAGAGAUGGUCCCGCGGUGUAUUAGUUAGUUGGUGAGGUAAUGGCUCACCAAGACAGUGAUACAUAGCCGAGUUGAGAGACUGACCGGCCACAAUGGGACUGAGACACGGCCCAUACUCCUACGGGAGGCAGCAGUAGGGAAUCUUCCACAAUGGACGAAAGUCUGAUGGAGCAACGCCGCGUGUGUGAUGAAGGGUUUCGGCUCGUAAAACACUGUUGUAAGAGAAGAAUGACAUUGAGAGUAACUGUUCAAUGUGUGACGGUAUCUUACCAGAAAGGAACGGCUAAAUACGUGCCAGCAGCCGCGGUAAUACGU
rnacentral:rRNA from 1 species